CCUACGGGAGGCAGCAGUGAGGAAUAUUGGUCAAUGGGCGGAAGCCUGAACCAGCCAAGUAGCGUGCGGGAUGAAGGCCCUACGGGUCGUAAACCGCUUUUGCACGGGGAUAACACCCUCCACUUGUGGAGGUCUGCAGGUACCGUUCGCUUAAGGGCCGGCUAAUUCCGUGCCAGCAGCCGCGGUAAGACGGAGGGCCCGAGCGUUAUCCGGAUUCAUUGGGCUUAAAGGGAGCGUAGGCGGGCGGUUAAGUCAGCGGUAAAAUCGCGCGGCUCAACCGUGCCCCGCUGUUGAAACUGGACGCCUUGAGUUCACGACAGGCAGGCGGAAUUCGUGGUGUAGCGGUGAAAUGCGUAGAUAUCACGAGGAACCCCGAUGGCGAAGGCAGCCUGCCGGGGUGCGACUGACGCUGAGGCUCGAAGGUGCGGGUAUCAAACAGGAUUAGAUACCCUUGUAGUC
rnacentral:rRNA from 1 species